CGUUGCGGUAGGGCGAGGGAGGGACGCCUUGUGCGUGCCAGUUCCUAGAUGACUGGUCUGUCAACCCUUUCUCGUUCUGCCACCAUC
rnacentral:antisense_RNA from 1 species